rnacentral:rRNA from 1 species
CAACGCGUUGGGAGCUCUCCCAUAUGGUCGACCUGCAGGCGGCCGCGAAUUCACUAGUGAUUAGAGUUUGAUCAUGGCUCAGAACGAACGCUUUCGGUAUGCUUAACACAUGCAAGUCGAACGGAUUUAUUUAGAGCUUGCUUUAAAUAAAUUAGUGGCAGACGGGUGAGUAACACGUGGGAAUCUGCCCAUCAGUACGGAAUAACAUUUAGAAAUAAUUGCUAAUACCGUAUAUUCUCUUUGGAGGAAAGAUUUAUCGCUGAUGGAUGAGCCCGCGCCAGAUUAGGUAGUUGGUAGGGUAAUGGCCUACCAAGCCAAUGAUCUGUAGCUGGUUUGAGAGAAUGAUCAGCCACACUGGGACUGAGACACGGCCCAGACUCCUACGGGAGGCAGCAGUGGGGAAUAUUGGACAAUGGGCGAAAGCCUGAUCCAGCCAUGCCGCGUGUGUGAAGAAGGUCUUCGGAUUGUAAAGCACUUUAAGUUGGGAGGAAGGGCAGUAAGUUAAUACCUUGCUGUUUUGACGUUACCGACAGAAUAAGCACCGGCUAACUUCGUGCCAGCAGCCGCGGUAAAUCGAAUUCCCGCGGCCGCCAUGGCGCCCGGAAGCAUGCGAC